rnacentral:rRNA from 1 species
GACGAACGCUGGCGGCGUGCCUAAUACAUGCAAGUAGAACGCUGAAGGAGGAGCUUGCUCUUCUGGAUGAGUUGCGAACGGGUGAGUAACGCGUAGGUAACCUGCCUGGUAGCGGGGGAUAACUAUUGGAAACGAUAGCUAAUACCGCAUAACAGUAGAUGUUGCAUGACAUUUACUUAAAAGGUGCAAUUGCAUCACUACCAGAUGGACCUGCGUUGUAUUAGCUAGUUGGUGGGGUAACGGCUCACCAAGGUGACGAUACAUAGCCGACCUGAGAGGGUGAUCGGCCACACUGGGACUGAGACACGGCCCAGACUCCUACGGGAGGCAGCAGUAGGGAAUCUUCGGCAAUGGACGGAAGUCUGACCGAGCAACGCCGCGUGAGUGAAGAAGGUUGUCGGAUCGUAAAGCUCUGUUGUAAGAGAAGGACGAGUGUGAGAGUGGAAAGUUCACACUGUGACGGUAUCUUACCAGAAAGGGACGGCUAACUACGUG